rnacentral:rRNA from 1 species
AGAGUUUGAUCAUGGCUCAGGGUGAACGCUAGCUACAGGCUUAACACAUGCAAGUCGAGGGGAAACGACAUCGAAAGCUUGCUUUUGAUGGGCGUCGACCGGCGCACGGGUGAGUAACGCGUAUCCAACCUGCCCACCACUUGGGGAUAACCUUGCGAAAGUAAGACUAAUACCCAAUGACGCCUCUAGAAGACAUCUGAAGGAGAUUAAAGAUUUAUCGGUGAUGGAUGGGGAUGCGUCUGAUUAGCUUGUUGGCGGGGUAACGGCCACCAAGGCGACGAUCAGUAGGGGUUCUGAGAGGAAGGUCCCCCANAUUGGAACUGAGACACAGUCCAAACUCCUACGGGAGGCA